UUAAAAUGGCUAGCCUGUGGGUGUGGUAUUUACUCUCUAUCUUUCACGGGAAAGAAAAACCUAGCCGCACCUAAUAAAAAAAAACUCUUUAGUUUAGGGGAUGUUGUCUUCCUCUUCUUGGAGCACACUAUACCUCUUUUAAUAUUUUGAAUUUGCUCCGAUCUAUUGUUAUUAAGUUUGUGUGGUUAUUUGAUUUCUUAUUUUUCAUGGCGGUUAGGUUUUUGUUCUGGUUAAUCUACUUACUUAUUAUUCUGAUUUUACAUGGCAGUAUUAUUUCUAUCAAACCAUUUUAUUCUUAUAUGAAAAUAAUUCAAGUGCGAAGAUAGUGCAUAUGAUGUUUUUACACUUGAUCUCUGAACUUCAGGUGGGAUGAUUAAGCAACAUAGGUGAUGUUUCAUUUGGUGGUGCUUGGCUUCUUCAAGAAUAAACUAACACCUAAUUCUUGAGGUAGCUUGGUACGCUGUUGACAUCGUAGGUUCUUUUUUGGCUUUCUACUUUUCCUGUUUGAAUUUGAAUGUGCUGCUAAAGUGAUUCUAUUGUUUCUGCACAAAGUUCUUCCCAAUUUAACAAAAUUCAGAUUAGGAGGAAAUGACACUGCAAUCCACUAUUAGGGUUUAGUAAUGUGGCGGUUGAAUUAUCAUCGAGAACCACCUAAUAAAUUUGUCUAUUUUUUGGGAUUUGGCUCUUCAACAAGUACAUGAAUUAUGCAGGGGAGGGGAUGAUAUCACAACCAGUGAUAUUUAUUUGAUGGUAAGUCAUUUCAAGCGACAUGACCAAAGUCAGAUACUCAUAAAAAAUUAAGUUUCUAAUGGAAAUCACUUGUGUUUAGUCUUUCGUGUGACAUAAUAUCUAUAUAGACAAAUUACAAUGUCACUUAAUGUGACACAACAACGCAUCUAACUGAGUUACUUGAUAGAGUAAAUAUUUUAACCAACCUUAGAUAUUAUGAAACAAUAGUUCUAUAUUUUGUUAA